ncrna:unclassified sequences RT-2 RNA
AUAUGCCAGACAGAGUAGAAAAAUCGAAAUCAGUGCCAGAGUGGAAGGAAGGAGCAAAUAACCCUCGCCGUCAAGGCGUAAAUAAGAGCCCAGACGCUACCGGGAGGACGCUGCUUGCAGGGCGCGGAGUUUGCGCGAGUUCUCCGCGUUUCAUACCCGUUGUACUAUGCGGCUAAUUAAACGCAUGACAGCCGUGCUGGGUAAUAACAAAGGAAUGAGUUAAA